UGCUGAUGCAUUAGCACUAUUCCUAAUGAAGCAGGACCUGUAAAUAAGCAAGAUGCAAAAUUAGAGUCUCUUCAUUUGCAGAGAGACACUUAAAUGGCGAACAGUGGAAUGAUGGACUAUUAGCUACAGUUAGGAAGCGAGUUCACAUGGAGUUAGAAAGAAAAGCAAUGCAGGGGGAUGCUAGCAUGGCAGUGAAUUCUCACUUCCAUGGGAAAAUUACUUAUAUAGCAGGAACUAAGGUAAUUUGCUGUCUGAAGGGAGCUAGAAUUGGCAUCCAGUAUGAGACACCUUUUUCCGGUCUGUUUAGGUUAUGCAUUUUAAGAGACCCUGGGUUUGGAUUUUGUACUGAAGUAAGAAAAAAUGGUGAUGAGUAACAACAAUUAUGAAGAAACAAGGUUACAGAGAAUGAAAGAGAACAACAAGAGAAUGGAAGAACUCAAACUCAACAGAUGGGGUUUGGUUGAUUUGGGUUUUGGUUCAAAUCUGAAUCAACGAUGGUUUGUGUUUGAGCUAAGAGAUGAAAUUUAGGGUUUAAUUACUGAGAAUCGAGAGAUCAUUGAGAAGAAUUAGGUGAUGGGUUUUUGUGGUUGUUCUUCAAGGGUUUGAAGAAGAUAUUUGGACCGAGAUAGAAAAAUAUGUAGACGAAAAUGUAUAUUAAUGCUUAAACCCUCUUGUCGUUGGUUUCGUCGUGUAAUUUGGAAGAAGACAGUGUAUGGAAAUGCGCUUGUUUACGUGAUCUUUAAGUUCCUCCGUUUUGCCAACAAGUCUCCUCUAUAUGGACCCAAUUCUGUAUUUGGUAAAUUUGACUCCAUCCCUUACUUGUGUGUAUGUAAGUUAAUCGAAAAGUUAGUUUCUACUGAACUUUGUUGUUCUGGUUUUGUGGUUUUCAUAUGUGAGUCAUUCUUAUCAAGUGGUGCAGUUCUGAAGAGCUUAAGGGAUUCAAGCAUCAAAUUUUUUUUGUCAGAUUCAUAGCUCGUGAUGGAAAAAAGAAACUCAAGUGAUCCUAAAAGUCUUGAAAUUGGACUGAUACCAAAGAAAGAAAUGGAUUCUUGUUGAAACCAAAGCAAGAUGUGGUUUCUAAAUCUGCUACUUGGAUUGUCCAUGAAAAACAUCAGAAAUGACUUUAUGAUCAGUGGGGGACAAUGUAUGUCAACCUAUACAACAGGAUCAAUUUGACACCAUAUAUUUGUCAGACAAUGAUAGUUAUGUUAUGUACUCUCGCCCUCAUUUUUUAGAUCGUACGCCUUGUUUACUGUUUGGAUCUCCUCCAAAUUAUUGUAU